rnacentral:rRNA from 1 species
GUAUUCCUACGGGGGGCAGCAGUGAGGAAUAUUGGUCAAUGGGAGGAAUCCUGAACCAGCCAUGCCGCGUGCAGAACGACGGCUCUACGAGUUGUAAACUGCUUUUGUACCGGGGUAAAAUGCUCUACGAGUAGGGUUUUGAAAGUACGGUACGAAUAAGGAUCGGCUAACUCCGUGCCAGCAGCCGCGGUAAUACGGAGGAUCCGAGCGUUAUCCGGAUUCAUUGGGUUUAAUGGGUGCGUAGGUUGUUUUAUAAGUUAGCGGUGAAAUACCGAUGCUCAACAUCGGGGCUGCCG